rnacentral:rRNA from 1 species
ACGGAAGGCAGCAGUGGGGGGUAUUGCACAAUGGGGGAAACCCUGAUGCAGCGACGCCGCGUGAGCGAAGAAGUAUUUCGGUAUGUAAAGCUCUAUCAGCAGGGAAGAAAAUGACGGUACCUGACUAAGAAGCUCCGGCUAAAUACGUGCCAGCAGCCGCGGUAAUACGUAUGGAGCAAGCGUUAUCCGGAUUUACUGGGUGUAAAGGGAGCGUAGACGGUUUGCCAAGUCUGAUGUGAAAGGUGGGGGCUCAACCCCCAAACUGCAUUGGAAACUGGUAGACUAGAGUGUCGGAGAGGUAAGUGGAAUUCCUAGUGUAGCGGUGAAAUGCGUAGAUAUUAGGAGGAACACCAGUGGCGAAGGCGGCUCACUAGACGAUAACUGACGUUGAGGCUCGAAAGCGUGGGGAGCAAACAGGAUUAGAUACCCUGGUA